ACCUCGGCAUCCAGCUUAGCCGACCGAAGACUCCCGAUAUCGACCCGUGGAUCAGGCCAUGCUGACUCAUCAGCCACGACACAUCUAUUCGCCGACAGGUUGCACUCAGACUCAGCCAAUGUAUUUAGAGAAGGCUGAAAAUAUUGCAGGUAGUCACAGAGGAUUUAGUUGCCGUAAGAAGUAACCCUGUCAGUGUUUGCCUCCACAGUUCAUGAUAGAGCACCAGUUCAACAGCACUGCAAAGACCAUAAAUGAAUUGCUCAUGCUGUUCUUGCCUUUUCUUUCGUUUAUGAGAAGUUUUGGAUUUGACUUGAUCUUAUGUUGGUUUCCCAGCAAGUUCAGUAAAAGAGUG
rnacentral:lncRNA from 1 species